AUUGAACGCUGGCGGCAUGCUUUACACAUGCAAGUCGAGCGGCAGCGCGGGACUCAGGCAACUGAGCCCUGGCGGCGAGCGGCGAACGGGUGAGGAAUACAUCGGAACGUACCCGGGAGUGGGGGAUAACGCCGCGAAAGCGGCGCUAAUACCGCAUAUGCUCUGUGGAGGAAAGUGGGGGACUCGUCAGGCAACUGAGGGGCCUCACGCUCUGGGCGCGGCCGAUGUCCGAUUAGCUAGUUGGUGGGGUAAUGGCUCACCAAGGCGACGAUCGGUAGCUGGUCUGAGAGGAUGAUCAGCCACACUGGGACUGAGACACGGCCCAGACUCCUACGGGA
rnacentral:rRNA from 1 species